CCUACGGGGGGCUGCAGUGGGGAAUAUUCCGCAAUGGACGAAAGUCUGACGGAGCAACGCCGCGUGAGUGAUGAAGGUUUUCGGACUGUAAAGCUCUGUUGUUUAGGACGAAAGUGCCUGCUGCGAACAGUUGCAGGUAUUGACGGUACUGAACGAGGAAGCCACGGCUAACUACGUGCCAGCAGCCGCGGUAAUACGUAGGUGGCAAGCGUUGUCCGGAAUUAUUGGGCGUAAAGAGCAUGUAGGCGGGAAUCUAAGUCUGUUGUGAAAAUGCGGGGCUCAACCCCGUAUGGCGAUGGAAACUGGAUUUCUUGAGUGCAGGAGAGGAAAGGGGAAUUCCCAGUGUAGCGGUGAAAUGCGUAGAUAUUGGGAGGAACACCAGUGGCGAAGGCGCCUUUCUGGACUGUGUCUGACGCUGAGAUGCGAAAGCCAGGGUAGCGAACGGGCUUAGAUACCCCAGUAGUC
rnacentral:rRNA from 1 species